rnacentral:rRNA from 1 species
GACGAACGCUGGCGGCGUGCUUAACACAUGCAAGUCGAACGGAAAGGCCUCGUUCGGGGGGUACUCGCGUGGCGAACGGGUGAGUAACACGUGAGUAACCUGCCCUCGUCUUUGGGUUAACUUCAGGAAACAGGGGGGAAUACCUGCUAGAAGCUCUUGUUGCACGGGGGGGGCUGGAGAGAUUCGGGGGGUAGGGGUGGCUUCGCAGGGUAUCAGCUUGUUGGUGGGGUGUUGGCUUACCAAGGGCUUGGCGGGUAGCCGGCCUGGGAGGGUGACCGGCCGCAUUGGGACCUAGGGGCGGCCCAGACUGCUACGGGAGGGAGAAGUGGGGAAGAUUGCCCGAUGGGUGGAAGCCGGGUGCAGAAACGCCGUGGGCGGGAAGACGGCCUUCGGGUUGAAAAACGCAUUCGCUCAUGACGAAGCAUUGUGUGACGGUAGUGGGUAAAGAAGCACCGGCUAACUACGUG